rnacentral:rRNA from 1 species
AGAAUGAACGCUGGCGGCGUGCCUAACACAUGCAAGUCGUGCGCGAAAGGGACUUCGGUCCCCGGUAGAGCGGCGAACGGGUGAGUAACACGUGGGUAACCUGUCUGAGAGUGGGGGAUAACCUGGGGAAACUCGGGCUAAUACCGCAUACGUCCACCGGGCUUCGGCUCGGUGAGGAAGGUGGCCUCUGCUUGCAAGCCACCACUCCCAGACGGGGCCCGCGUCUGAUUAGCUAGUGGCGGGUAACGCCACAAGGCGACGAUCAGUAGCCGGCCUGGAGCGGGCUAGCCGACGACGACUAGGAACGUGAGACACGGUCCAGACCUCCGUACGGGAGCAGCGAGUGAGGAUCGUGCG